rnacentral:snoRNA from 1 species
AGCAUUUGUGUGUGCUUUGUUUAACUUGUGAACAAAGACUUACAGAUAGCAAAAAAAAGAGCUCCUCCUUUGAAACUCAGAGCUCAUUGUUCACCAUGAGUUUUGAUGUAUAUAAGAAAGAAAUG